UACGGGGGGGGCAAGCGUUGUUCGGAAUUACUGGGCGUAAAGGGCGCGUAGGCGGUUGGAUAAGUCAGCUGGGAAAACCACGGGCUUAACUCGUGGCCUGCAGUUGAGACUGUCUGGCUUGAGUGUGGGAGAGGAGAGUGGAAUUCCUGGUGUAGCGGUGAAAUGCGUAGAUAUCAGGAGGAACACCGGUGGCGAAGGCGGCUCUCUGGACCACAACUGACGCUGAGGCGCGAAAGCUAGGGGAGCAAACAGG
rnacentral:rRNA from 1 species